AUUGCUCCCCGUUAGAAGUGGCAAUGGAUAAACAAUAGUAGAAACCACUGAAAUUAAGAGGAGGCCCACAAGAAUAAGCCUACCCCGUUCUAUAGUUGAGCCCCAGAGGGCUCGUAUAUUAUACUCCGUUGAAAAAAAAAAAGUCUGCCCCUAAAAAUGGGUUAAACUAGGGGAUUGAUACCCUAUUAUUUUGAGUGUUAAUGUUUUUGCCUGAGUAGUAUUAGUUGUGUUCUUGAAACUUAAAGAAUUUGGCGGUAUCCUAUUCCGUUCAGAGGAAUCUGUCUCGUUAUCGAUAGUCCGCGUUGGACCUUACUUAGAGUUAUAUUUUUGGUUUGUAUACCGCCGUUUAUUGAUUAUCUUUUUAGAGUUCCUUAAUUUUCUGGUUUCUUUAAUUUGAUUUAUUGCAGGUCAAGGUGCAGCUUUUUCUAAGUGUAAUGAUGGAUUACAGUGUUAUGUGUUGUUUGGAUUGUUUAUUUUAAUAUUGACAUGAAAUUGGAUUUGGUUGUAAUGUCUUGUAGAUUGUUUUCAUGAUAGUUGGUUCUAGGAUAUGUACACAUCGCCCGUCGCUACUCAUUACGU
rnacentral:rRNA from 1 species